UGUUGAAAGCUUGCUGGAAAUACAACUUAGUGGCGGACGGGUGAGUAACACGUGAGUAACCUGCCUUUCAGAGUGGAAUAACGUUUGGAAACGAACGCUAAUACCGCAUAACAUGAGAGAACGGCAUCGUUCUUUCAUCAAAGAUUUUAUCGCUGAGAGAUGGGCUCGCGGCCGAUUAGGUAGUUGGUGAGAUAAUAGCCCACCAAGCCGACGAUCGGUAGCCGGACUGAGAGGUUGAACGGCCACAUUGGGACUGAGACACGGCCCAGACUCC
rnacentral:rRNA from 1 species